ACUGUAUAUACUCAUAAUAAUCUCAGCGACAGCCAGACUUUACAACGUAAUAAUACGGCUCUUGUGACUGAAAACAAGCAAAUUUACAGGGUUCUGCGCGGACUGGACCUAGACUGAGGGAUGUGCUCUUGGCUCCUUCCUCAGGAGGUGACCACACCGCACCUUCAGCCACCGCUCAGGACCACAGCCUUCAACAGACUGAGGAGUCCAGCCCCAUCUGUUCCACAGCUGAGCUUUUAAUUUAUUAUGCUUCAUUGGGUGUCCCCCUAUCUUGUGCCCUGUGCUGCCUGGAAUCGACUCCAGUCCCCUGCGGUCCAGUAAUGAAAGAUGGAUGGAUGCUUGGAUACCGAUGGAUGUUGCCAUAAAUUCUGAAAGAAGCAUAAAGCCUUUGAUGCAUUCAAUUAAUAGUUCAAUCAUGCAAAGUAAAUUAAAAACUCAGUUGGUCUGAAACAAGGUUAGGCCACGUGCCAGAAAGACCGAGUUUGGAUAAUAUAGACUUAGAGGACUGUAUUGGACAUGUGCACUGCUGUGUAACAAGAGAGAUCAUUUACCAGAUGAGACGGAAAUAAAGGGUACAGCAAUCACAGCUAAAGAUACUUCUCGAGUUUUGACAACAAUAAUGUACACAUGGCAUACUUAGUCAUUCCUCUGCCAUAAACUCUGAAAAAAUAAAGGGCAGCUAAUAUUGAUCCAAAUGCAGUUAUUUAAAUCUGACAGUUCAUUAUAGUCCCCUGUGACGACUUUUUCCCUCGUGAAAGAGUACAUUUCGAGAUAAGAAACUUGAUUACCACAAUUCUAUCUUAC